AGGGAAAAAAGCCUAAUUUUUAUUAUUUUAAUUAGGGUAGAUCUUUAUUAUUUUUAUUUCUAUUAGCAUCAGACUAAACACAAAAAGGGGAAUAGAUGCCAUCGCCGUCAACAAAAGGAACUUUCCGGCCAACCAACCAUUUGAGACACAGGCAAUUGGUUGUUUUCAUCAAAGGGAAGCUAAUGCAGUUUCCUCAUCUUCUCCCUUGCUCUCAGCAUCCUGUCUUCGUCUCUUGAUCUCAAACCAUAAAGGGCAAUUCACUGGAAACUACAACAAAAGCUACAAAUUGGAUCCUAUAAUGGUGGUAGAUAAGAAGGUGAAGGAGGCGGUUGAGGUGCUAACGCCAGUCCCGGUGCCGGCAGUGGAGAAGAAGACAGUGAAAACGGCUUUUGCUUUUAGCUAUUGAUAAUUCCAGCUUUGUGCUUUUGCUUGUUCUCUAUUUUAUUUUAAUUUCUUUAUAUGAGCUGUAAUGCUUAGUCAGUGCUGAUUCA